CUACGGGUCGCUGCAGUAAGGAAUAUUGCGCAAUGGAGGCAACUCUGACGCAGCCAUGCCGCGUGCAGGAAGAAGGCCGUAUGGGUCGUAAACUGCUUUUAUUUAGGAAUAAACCCCCGAACGUGUUCGGGGCUGAAGGUACUAAACGAAUAAGCACCGGCUAACUCCGUGCCAGCAGCCGCGGUAAUACGGAGGGUGCAAGCGUUAUCCGGAUUUAUUGUGUUUAAAGGGUGCGCAGGCGGGCUAUUAAGUCAGUGGUGAAAUCCCGGGGCUCAACUCCGGAACUGCCAUUGAUACUGAUAGUCUUGAGUUUUGUUGAAGUGGGCGGAAUGUAGCAUGUAGCGGUGAAAUGCAUAGAUAUGCUACAGAACACCAAUCGCGAAGGCAGCUCACUAAGCCAAAACUGACGCUCAUGCACUAAAGCGUGGGGAUCAAACAGGAUUAGAUACCCCUGUAGUC
rnacentral:rRNA from 1 species